rnacentral:rRNA from 1 species
UGGCGGCGUGCCUAAUACAUGCAAGUCGAACGCACUCUCGUUUAGAUUGAAGGAGCUUGCUCCUGAUUGAUAAACAUUUGAGUGAGUGGCGGACGGGUGGGUAACACGUGGGUAACCUGCCCUAAAGUGGGGGAUAACAUUUGGAAACAGAUGCUAAUACCGCAUAAAACCUAACACCGCAUGGUGUAGGGUUGAAAGAUGGUUUCGGCUAUCACUUUAGGAUGGACCCGCGGUGCAUUAGUUAGUUGGUGAGGUAAAGGCUCACCAAGACCGUGAUGCAUAGCCGACCUGAGAGGUAAUCGGCCACACUGGGACUGAGACACGGCCCAGACUCCUACGGGAGGCAGCAGUAGGGAAUCUUCCACAAUGGACGAAAGUCUGAUGGAGCAACGCCGCGUGAGUGAAGAAGGUUUUCGGAUCGUAAAACUCUGUUGUUGGAGAAGGAUGUAUCUGAUAGUAACUGAUCAGGUAGUGACGGUAUCCAACCAGAAAGCCACGGCUAACUACGUG